AAAAAAACCUCCAUGUUGAGGCUGCGUCAGUUUUCGACAGUUACAUCUGAGGGAGUGUCCGCUGAGCCACAGGGUCGGCUGAGAUGGAAACCGGUGCUGGCAGAAGCAGGAGAAUUGUCAUGGCUUUCUGGCUUACUCUUAUCAAUAACCCCAAGAAAGCUGCCAUCCUCAUCUCCAUCUUCCUGGUUGGGCCCGCUGUGUAUGUGCAGCGAUGUAACAUCACCACACUGGAGACUCCAGCAGUGGCCAAAGUAACAGCUGUUCAUCGGGUGUU